UACAUUUCCACCCAAGGGAAACCAGUGGACACGGUCUGUUUGCCUUUCUACCCUCCAGUGACCAAAUAAAAGCAAGUGGUUCUACCUAAAAGAAAACUCCCUGUACUCAUCUAUUUACAGACUGAUUAACUGAAUUAGGUAUUUCCUGAGUCCCUUUACCUUCUCUGAAGAAAAAAAGAUAGCUUCAAAGAGGCUUAAUGCGUGAACUUGAGAUCAGGAACUUCAAAGACUUGAGAACUCUGAUCAAUGCAAUGACCAACCAUAACUCCAGAAGUCUCGUCAUAAAGCAAGUUACUCAUGUCCUAACAGAAAGAUCAUGGACUAAAGAUUUCAACUGAAGAGAAACCCACUAUCUUUUUGAGAAAGAAGCUGUAAAAAAAAGAAGAGCAUUCUGAGAAGCAGAAAGAGAGCAAAUAACAUGUUGUCAAGGAAGUCAAGGGAGAAUGAUUUAAGAAGGAAGGGCAGGUGACAUUGUGAAAUGCUGUAUAAAGUCAAGGAAGGUCCGAGGUCAUUUCUGUGGCUUGAACUCCUGGUCCCACAAGGAUCACCUUUAAGCACCUGAAACUCAACAGGAUAAAACAACACAGAAGAGAAAUAAACAACAGAAACAAGAAAAAACAGGUUCUUCUUGGAGCCACAGUAAAGUGAGAGGGCAGUGACCAAUUUAAUUCAUGGCAACAUGCCAUGGAUGCUGUGAUGGAGCCUCAUUGUUUCGAUGCAACAAAUAAAAAAUGACAGAAACAAGCAUAACAGAAAAAGAAUGACUGGCCCAGUGUUGCCAGUUUUAAAAUUUCAGCCAACUAAUCCAAGAAGACCAUCCAAAUUCAUAUGGUAGGUGAUGUAGAGGCCUUUGUGUUAGAUAAUCUGAAAGUCCCCUCCAAAGUCCCCUCAAGGAUGCUUCCAUUUUGGGUGAAUUGGGUAAAUCCAGAUGGGUCUGGAUUUCUGCUUGCAUAAAUUUGUAGUAGGUUCAAUUAGCAUAUUAUCAGGAAAUUUAGGGAGUUUCACAAUAACUUCUAUAGCAGAAGUAUUGUUGCUGGCCACAGUAGGAAAAUAUUAGAGACUAUGUAAUUCCAAACCAUUAUUUUACAAAAAUUCCUAGGGAAAUUAAGUAACUUGUCCAAUGUCACAUAGGAAGAACUUGGAAUUGACUCUAAAUAGCUUGAUUUCAGAAUCUAGUGAUUUUUCUAAUGUAUUUCUCUACCUUCUCUUCCUCUUCAGCAGCUUAGAAACUUUUAGAUCUUUGGACUGAUUUUCCUCCCUGGGAGCAUAGCCCUGGUGAGCUUGACCAGGUUACACCUUCAUCUUCUUGAUUUAGGUAUCAACAUUGCUAAUUAUAACUUGAAAAUUGUUCUUUUAUUUUUGUAGGUUAGACAGUGCCCCCUCCCCCCCAUGUGAUUUAUACUUAGUUAAUUACACUUAGUCUGCUCAGAAAACAUCUUUUUCUUUUCUUUUUUGUCAAUUUGGUAAAUUUGGUUUAAUCUGAAAUCAUCACAAAUCCACAAUUUAGUUAUUACAAUACUUUAAGUGAACCUAAUUUAUGUUAAGGUCACCAGAAUUAGCACCAUGCAGAAAUAUCUACCACCUAAACAUC